rnacentral:rRNA from 2 species
UUGACCUCGGAUCAGGUAGGACUACCCGCUGAACUUAAGCAUAUCAAUAAGCGGAGGAAAAGAAACCAACAGGGAUUGCCCCAGUAACGGCGAGUGAAGCGGCAACAGCUCAGAUUUGGAAUCUGGCCCCUAGGGCCCGAGUUGUAAUCUGGAGAGGAUGUUUCUGGCGCGGCGCCUUCCGAGUUCCCUGGAACGGGACGCCGGAGAGGGUGAGAGCCCCGUACGGUUGGACGCCUAGCCUUUGUGAAGCUCCUUCGACGAGUCGAGUAGUUUGGGAAUGCUGCUCAAAAUGGGAGGUAAAUUUCUUCUAAAGCUAAAUACCGGCCAGAGACCGAUAGCGCACAAGUAGAGUGAUCGAAAGAUGAAAAGCACUUUGAAAAGAGGGUCAAACAGUACGUGAAAUUGUUGAAAGGGAAGCGCCCGUGGCCAGACUUGUACCCCGCGGACCAUCCGGCGCCCUCAGCGCCGGUGCACUCCGUGGGGCGCAGGCCAGCAUCGGUUUUCCCAGGGGGAUAAAGGCGGCGGGAACGUGGCUCCCUCGGGAGUGUUAUAGCCCGCCGCGCCAUGCCCCUGGGGGGACCGAGGACCGCGCUUCGGCAAGGAUG